GACGAACGCUGGCGGCGUGCUUAACACAUGCAAGUCGAACGGAAAGGCCCUGCUUUUGUGGGGUGCUCGAGUGGCGAACGGGUGAGUAACACGAGAGUAACCUGCCCUUGACUUUGGGAUAACUUCAGGAAACUGGGGCUAAUACCGGAUAGGAGCUCCUGCUGCAUGGUGGGGGUUGGAAAGUUUCGGCGGUUGGGGAUGGACUCGCGGCUUAUCAGCUUGUUGGUGGGGUAGUGGCUUACCAAGGCUUUGACGGGUAGCCGGCCUGAGAGGGUGACCGGCCACAUUGGGACUGAGAUACGGCGCAGACUCCUACGGGAGGCAGCAGUGGGGAAUAUUGCACAAUGGGCGGAAGCCUGAUGCAGCAACGCCGCGUGCGGGAUGACGGCCUUCGGGUUGUAAACCGCUUUCGCCUGUGACGAAGCGUGAGUGACGGUAAUGGGUAAAGAAGCACCGGCUAACUACGUG
rnacentral:rRNA from 1 species